ACACCCCAAAGCUCUUUUGUUUCUGGGUUGCAUUGACGUCAGAGGCGGCUCCAUUGUUCCAGAAACCAGAGUAAACAGACAGCUCAUCCCCACCUCACAGAUUCCCCGGCAGGCCCAGUUUUUUUUUUUUUUUUUUGGUCUUGCUCCAUAUUCAGCCUGCAACCUAAUACUAUGUUUCCUCCUCAAAUGCAGCCUUUUCUCUUUCCACUGGGGCAAUCUGUUCUUUUAGCAAUUCUCCAAUGCUGUGGGCUUCUAGAACUCCUUGGAAUCUAAUCUGCUUUUGAUUUCAAGUUUUCACUCACUCCACAAAGGUUUGUUGACACCUGGCCCUUAGGGGUGUGUGUGUGCUAUAUGAAUCACCUUUCUGUUGCUAGGAUAAAAUAUCUGGCAAAUAUGGUUUAAAGGAGAAAAGGUUUAUCUUGGCUCAGAGUUUAGAGGUUUCAUUUGGCGGAAGAAAGCUGCUUACCUCAAGGCAGUUAGGAAGCAGGAAGUGCUGGAAAAAAGCCAGAGAAAGAGGAGGGUCCCCAGAACAAAAACACCCUUCCAGGUUACAUCCCCAGGGCCCACGUCUUCCAACCAGGCAUAUUCAUCUAGGAAUGCAUCUGUGGGUUAAUCCUGGGGUCAGGUUGGUGCCACGUGGCCCAAUCACCUUGCAAAAGCUCUACUUCUGCACACAUGACCUGUGGGAGGACUUUUUUGAUGAUCCUAGAAUCUGAAUCUAGGGACUUUGUGCUGAGCUAUAUCCUCAGCCUUUUUUUACUUUUUAUUUUGAAAUAGGAGCUUACUAAGUUGUUAAAUUGGCCAGUCUGGGCUCGAACUUAUGAUCUUCCUGCCUUGGCCUCCCAGAGACCUGGGAUCACAGGUUUGUACCACCAUGCGUGGCUGUGGGGUGGGAGCAGUUGACCCAAACUGUAACCCAUGAAAAAAAUACAUCCUGUUUGAUCCCUGUUUGUAAGGAGUUUGUGAUGUAGAAGAAAUGCUGGGUGAGGCGGAUGUGGAGGCAGUUUUGUGCAGGACGGGUGUAAGUCCUGAGAGAACAGGCCAGACUCAGGCAGGAGCUUCCAUCCAUCCUUCCAACAGAAAAGAAGGUUGUGGAGUAUGAAGCCCCAGGAGCAGGCCAAAUCCAUGAACACCAUUCUUGCUGAGUCAAGAUGGAGAGGAGGACAGAUGGCUGGAGCGGGGCAGUCAGGUUGGAGCAACGGGGACCCUUUCCCAGCCAGCCACCACUGAUGGGCCGUUACCUUCAGCACAGAGCUGUUGGCCUGGAACCCCACCAUCACCUGUGUACCCGACUAGCAUCUCUUAUUAGCAACUUUGCAAAUAAAGGCAUGGUUUUAACAGAAGAAAAAAAUAUCAGUCACUUGAGAAGAGAUUACUUCAGACUUCCUGGUCAUGAAGCCGUUGGAAGAAAAACCAAGGAUUUCACCAGGGUGAAAGCUGUGUCCUUUGGUGAGGGUGGUGACAGCCAUGAAGGAAGUUGCAGUAACCUGUCAGCAGUGGCAUCAUGACUACCGGUGCUUCCGCCUGUGGAUGGCUGGGCCAGGCAGGC